AACGAACGCUGGCGGCAUGCCUUACACAUGCAAGUCGAACGGCAGCACGGGAGCAAUCCUGGUGGCGAGUGGCGAACGGGUGAGUAAUAUAUCGGAACGUGCCCAGUCGUGGGGAUAACGUAGCGAAAGCUACGCUAAUACCGCAUACGAUCUAUGGAUGAAAGCGGGGGAUCGCAAGACCUCGCGCGAUUGGAGCGGCCGAUAUCAGAUUAGGUAGUUGGUGAGGUAAAGGCUCACCAAGCCGACGAUCUGUAGCUGGUCUGAGAGGACGACCAGCCACACUGGGACUGAGACACGGCCCAGACUCCUACGGGAGGCAGCAGUGGGGAAUUUUGGGACAAUGGGCGCAAGCCUGAUCCAGCAAUGCCGCGUGCAGGAUGAAGGCCUUCGGGUU
rnacentral:rRNA from 1 species